rnacentral:rRNA from 1 species
AGCUAGUUGGUGAGGUAAUGGCCCACCAAGGCAACGAUCGGUAGCCGGACUGAGAGGUUGAACGGCCACAUUGGGACUGAGACACGGCCCAGACUCCUACGGGAGGCAGCAGUGGGGAAUAUUGCACAAUGGGGGAAACCCUGAUGCAGCGACGCCGCGUGGAGGAAGAAGGUCUUCGGAUUGUAAACUCCUGUUGUUGAGGAAGAUAAUGACGGUACUCAACAAGGAAGUGACGGCUAACUACGUGCCAGCAGCCGCGGUAAAACGUAGGUCACAAGCGUUGUCCGGAAUUACUGGGUGUAAAGGGAGCGCAGGCGGGAAGACAAGUUGGAAGUGAAAUCUAUGGGCUCAACCCAUAAACUGCUUUCAAAACUGUUUUUCUUGAGUAGUGCAGAGGUAGGCGGAAUUCCCGGUGUAGCGGUGGAAUGCGUAGAUAUCGGGAGGAACACCAGUGGCGAAGGCGGCCUACUGGGCACCAACUGACGCUGAGGCUCGAAAGUGUGGGUAGCAAACAGGAUUAGAUACCCUGGUAGUCCACACCGUAAACGAUGAUUACUAGGUGUUGGAGGAUUGACCCCUUCAGUGCCGCAGUUAACACAAUAAGUAAUCCACCUGGGGAGUACGACCGCAAGGUUGAAACUCAAAGGAAUUGACGGGGGCCCGCACAAGCAGUGGAGUAUGUGGUUUAAUUCGACGCAACGCGAAAAACCUUACCAAGUCUUGACAUCCUGCGACGCACAUAGAAAUAUGUGUUUCCUUCGGGACGCAGAGACAGGUGGUGCAUGGUUGUCGUCAGCUCGUGUCGUGAGAUGUUGGGUUAAGUCCCGCAACGAGCGCAACCCUUACUGUCAGUUACUACGCAAGAGGACUCUGGCAGGACUGCCGUUGACAAAACGGAGGAAGGUGGGGAUGACGUCAAAUCAUCAUGCCCUUUAUGACUUGGGCUACACACGUACUACAAUGGCGUUAAACAAAGAGAAGCAAGACCGCGAGGUGGAGCAAAACUCAGAAACAACGUCCCAGUUCGGACUGCAGGCUGCAACUCGCCUGCACGAAGUCGGAAUUGCUAGUAAUCGUGGAUCAGCAUGCCACGGUGAAUACGUUCCCGGGCCUUGUACACACCGCCCGUCACACCAUGAGAGCCGGGGGGACCCGAAGUCGGUAGUCUAACCGUAAGGAGGACGCCGCCGAAGGUAAAACUGGUGAUUGGGGUGAAGUCGAAACAAGGUAGCCGUAGGAGAACCUGCGGCUG